rnacentral:lncRNA from 1 species
CCGAGGCAUGAGAUUGAGUACUAUCAGUAUUUGAUCCUAAAGAACUUGUACUUUCCUGCCUGUUAUGACCAGAGAAGCUAUUGUCUCUGGAGUGUAGCUGAGAAUUACUUUCAGGAGGAGGGUAUCGUGCAGGUUGUUGAUAAGAGGAAGAUACUUGUGAGUUACUUUCAGGAGGAGGGUAUUGUGCAGAUUGUUGAUAAGACGAAGAUACUUGAGAAUCACUCUCAGGAGGUGGGUAAUGUCCUGGUAAGGAUUGCUGAUAAGGGUACGGAGAUGAACCAUACUGAAAACUACCAUGAUGUUGAAGAGUAGGUGGAGGAGAAGUUUGAGGAAUUGGA